rnacentral:rRNA from 1 species
AACGAACGUUAGCGGCGCGCCUAACACAUGCAAGUCGCACGAGAAAGGGCUUCGGCCCCGGUACAGUGGCGCACGGGUGAGUAACACGUAGGUAAUCUGCCCUUGGGUGGUGGAUAACCCUCCGAAAGGAGGGCUAAUACAGCAUGAGACCACGGCAUCUCAGGAUGCUGCGGCCAAAGUAGGCCUCUCUACAGAAGCUUACGCCAGAGGAUGAACCUGCGGCCCAUCAGCUAGUUGGUAAGGUAACGGCUUACCAAGGCAAAGACGGGUAGCUGGUCUGAGAGGAUGAACAGCCACACUGGAACUGAGACACGGUCCAGACUCCUACGGGAGGCAGCAGUGGGGAAUCUUGCACAAUGGGCGAAAGCCUGAUGCAGCGACGCCGCGUGAGCGAUGAAGGCCUUCGGGUUGUAAAGCUCUGUGGGGAGGGACGAAUAUGGCAUGGCUAAUAUCCAUGUUGAUGACGGUACCUCCUUAGCAAGCACCGGCUAACUCUGUGCCAGCCGCCGCGGUAAUAC